rnacentral:misc_RNA from 1 species
CAGAGUUGCAAGACUCCCUAAACCAUUGUGAACCUACCUUCUACCGUUGCUUCAGCGGGCGGGCCCAGCGCCCCCCCCGGCCCCCCGCGGGCGCCCGCCGGAGGAUACCCUAACUCUUGACAUUAGUGGCCUCUCUGAGUAUUCUUUACUGAAUAAGUCA